AUAGCGUAUAUUAAAGUUGUUGCAGUUAAAAAGCUCGUAGUUGGAUUUCUAGGGAGAGGGGUUAAACCCGAUCCCUACUAGACCCUCCGGGGUCAGUUACUGUGAGAAAAUUAGAGUGUUUCAAGCAGGCUUUUGCAGGAAUACAUUAGCAUGGAAUAACGAAUGUUUCUAGAAUCUUGGUUAAUUCUAGAUAACGAUUAAUAGGGACAGUUGGGGGCAUUAGUAUUUAACUGUCAGAGGUGAAAUUCUUGGAUUUGUUAAAGACUAACGUAUG
rnacentral:rRNA from 1 species